CUGCCAGGGAAUCCGUGUUAUGUGGCUAAGCUGCUGCCUAGCAGUCAGGCCUCUGGCAGCCGAAGAAAACCUGUAUUUUCCAGGAGAGCGCAGCUGGCUGCCGGCUGUCCGCGGCCUUGCUCCCGGUUCCCCCCUGUGGCCCCUCAUGCCAGAGCAAGGAGAGAGGAGCCCAAUCCACUCCCUUCCCCUCCCAGACACCCUCUCAUGUCAUCAUCACAAACCCCUGAGACUGCUGCAGACACAGGGACGUUUCAGCUCCACUUGGCUUUAGCCACACGCCCACAAUCAACAGACAAUCCAUGGACACCUACUCCUGGGCUGUUUCAAUUAGGCUGAAUUAGUUCCCAAUGUAUUUUUAGGGUGUUGCCGAUGAAAAGGUGAUUUUUUUCUCCCCACUUUGAACUUGAAAUGGUAAUACUAUACCUCGUCACCAUAGCAUACUCCCAAAGGUACAUCUGUGUAAUAGUGUGUGUGUGUGUGUGUACCCAUGUGUGAAAAGCAAAAUGGAGGUAUGGAGAGAACAUUUUGCUGUAACUUAAAGAAUAAAACAGACAGAACUUACUGGA